AAACUUUCAACAACGGAUCUCUUGGUUCUGGCAUCGAUGAAGAACGCAGCGAAAUGCGAUAAGUAGUGUGAAUUGCAGAAUUCAGUGAAUCAUCGAAUCUUUGAACGCACAUUGCGCCCUGUGGUAUUCCGCAGGGCAUGCCUGUUCGAGCGUCAUUU
rnacentral:rRNA from 4 species